GACGAACGCUGGCGGCGUGCUUAACACAUGCAAGUCGAACGGAAAGGCCCUGCUUUUGUGGGGUGCUCGAGUGGCGAAAGGGUGCGUAACAGGUGAGUAACCUGCUCUUGACUUUGGGAUAACUUCAGGAAACUGGGGCUAAUACCGGAUAGGAGCUCCUGUUGCAUGGUGGGGGUUGGAACGUUUCGGCGGUUGGGGAUGGACUCGCGGCUUAGCAGCUUGUUGGUGGGGUAGUGGCUUACCAAGGCUUUGACGGGUAGCCGGCCUGAGAGGGUGACCGGCCACAUUGGGACUGAGGUACGGCCCAGACUCCUACGGGGGGCAGCAGUGGGGAAUAUUGCACAAUGGGCGGAAGCCUGAUGCAGCAACGCCGCGUGCGGGAUGACGGCCUUCGGGUUGUAAACCGCUUUCGCCUGUGACGAAGCGUGAGUGACGGUAAUGGGUAAAGAAGCACCGGCUAACUACGUG
rnacentral:rRNA from 1 species